GGAUACGGUCAUGCUACCCUGAACAAGCCCGAUCCCGUCUGAUCUCAGAAGCUAAGCAGGGUCGGGCCUGGUUAGUACUUGGAUGGGAGACCACCUAGGAAGACCAGGUGCUGUAGGCG
rnacentral:rRNA from 1 species